CACAGGUAAAUUGAUUUAAUGGUCAGGAAUGCAUUUGGUGGCCAGUCUUCCAGGGGGCCCAUGAAAGUUCAGGAUUUCUUCUGAAUUUUGUCCUUGGAGGUGUGGGAAGAAUGAAUAUUGAAUAUUCAUACUCAACAUGAAUAUUUUGGAAGCUGGGCCUGAAAGUUAAGGUUCUCAGGUGAAGCGCCAAGUAUGUCACUGAAAGCCCAGUGGAGUUAAGUGUGCAAAGUCAGUCUGAACAUAUGCUGUAAUGGAUUUGACCUCGAAUAGCACUACAAAGAGAAAUUGCAGAUAACCAUCUGAACUGACUUCUGAAGCUUGUAGUUCUGGCUCCUGAGAUACAGAGAGAAAAGUGAGACCAAACAGGUGGGAGCAAACAACUCAGAGAGACCAGAAUGAAUACGAGUCUAACUUUAAAAGUAAAUAAAAUUAAAUAAAAAUGAUUUAUUCUAUAGCUCUUUGUCUUUUAUUGGUUCCCACACAAUGUCCACACAAUAAACAG
rnacentral:lncRNA from 10 species